rnacentral:rRNA from 1 species
UACGUAGGGUGCGAGCGUUAAUCGGAAUUACUGGGCGUAAAGCGUGCGCAGGCGGUUCGCCAAGUCAGGUGUGAAAUCCCCGGGCUUAACCUGGGAAUUGCGCUUGAAACUAGCGGGCUUGAGUGUGGCAGAGGGGGGGUGGAAUUCCACGUGUAGCAGUGAAAUGCGUAGAGAUGUGGAGGAACACCGAUGGCGAAGGCAGCCCCCUGGGUCAACACUGACGCCUCAUGCACGAAGCGUGGGGAGCAAACAGG